rnacentral:rRNA from 1 species
AUUUUGGACAAUGGGGGAAACCCUGAUCCAGCCAUCCCGCGUGUAUGAUGAAGGCCUUCGGGUUGUAAAGUACUUUUGGCAGAGAAGAAAAGGUACCUCCUAAUACGAGGUACUGCUGACGGUAUCUGCAGAAUAAGCACCGGCUAACUACGUGCCAGCAGCCGCGGUAAUACGUAGGGUGUAAGCGUUAAUCGGAAUUACUGGGCGUAAAGGGUGUGUAAGGGGGUUCGAAAAAAAGAAGUUAAAAACCAGGGGUCAAACUUGGAAAUGCAUUUUUAACUGGCGAGCUAGAGUAUGUCAGAGGGGGGUAGAAUUCCACGUGUAGCAGUGAAAUGCGUAGAUAUGUGGAGGAAUACCGAUGGCGAAGGCAGCCCCCUGGGAUAAUACUGACGCUCAGACACGAAAGCGUGGGGAGCAAACAG